UGGGGAAUUUUGGACAAUGGGGGAAACCCUGAUCCAGCCAUCCCGCGUGUGCGAUGAAGGCCUUCGGGUUGUAAAGCACUUUUGGCAGGAAAGAAACGUCAUGGGUUAAUACCCCGUGAAACUGACGGUACCUGCAGAAUAAGCACCGGCUAACUACGUGCCAGCAGCCGCGGUAAUACGUAGGGUGCAAGCGUUAAUCGGAAUUACUGGGCGUAAAGCGUGCGCAGGCGGUUCGGAAAGAAAGAUGUGAAAUCCCAGAGCUCAACUUUGGAACUGCGUUUUUACGUACCGUGCUAGAGUGUGUCGGGGGGGGGUGGAAUUCCGCGUGUAGCAGUGAAAUGCGUAGAUAUGCGGAGGAACACCGGUGGAGAAGGCAGCCGCCUGGGCUAACAAUGACGCUCAUGCACGAAAGCGUGGGGAGCAAACAGG
rnacentral:rRNA from 1 species